rnacentral:rRNA from 1 species
UACGUAGGGUGCAAGCGUUGUCCGGAAUUAUUGGGCGUAAAGAGCUCGUAGGCGGUCUGUCACGUCGGCUGUGAAAUCCCGAGGCUCAACCUCGGGUCUGCAGUCGAUACGGGCAAACUAGAGUAUUGCAGGGGAGACUGGAAUUCCUGGUGUAGCGGUGAAAUGCGCAGAUAUCGGGAGGAACACCGGUGGCGAAGGCGGGUCUCUGGGCCGAAACUGACGCUGAGGAGCGAAAGCGUGGGGAGCGAACAGG